CCCGAAGUAAAAAGAGUUAAUUUAUUUAUGGUUAGCGUGGUAAAGUUAUCAUUAAGGUGAAUUAGAGGCGACAUGUCAUUCAAUUUUUAUAUAUCUGGUUUAACUUAUUUUAAUUCAAUUUAUAGGUAAAUUUAAAAAUUCACUUAAGUAAGAUAGAGGGGUAAGCUCUCUAUGUUAAAUUAUGUAGUUUUACUACAGGUGGUUUAAUAACUAUCACUGUAUCAGAUAAGAUUUUAUUAAUUUAAGAAGAGUUAGACUAAAAAUCUUAACAAAUAGGGGACAAUAAAUAUAUUAGUAAUCAAUAAGUGUAAUUUAAUAUAUAAAUUUAUUAUAAAUUUAACUUAAGUUGAAUUUUUUAAGAAUUCGGCAACACUGAUUUCGCAUGUUUAUCAAAAACAUCUCUUGAAAUAUUUUCAAGUAACCUCUGCCCUAUGAGUAGUUUAAAUGGCCGCAGUACUUUGACUGUGCAAAGGUAGCAUAAUCACUUGUCUUUUAAUUGGAGGCUGGAAUGAAAGAGGCGACGAAAUUUGGACUAUUUAUUUACAAUAUAAAAUUUACAUAAAGGUUAAAAGGCCUUUAUAAAUCAAAGGGACGAUAAGACCCUAUAAAACUUUACUAUAGGUUAAGUUAUUUAGAUAAAAUUUACAUUUAUAGUUUAGCUGGGGCGGUUUAUAUAAAAACAAUUGUAGCAAAAAUAUAUUAAAUAGAAUUUGAGAACUCUAAUAUGAAAUAAAUAAGUUACUUUAGGGAUAACAGCAUAAUUCUCCCAGAGAGUCCUAAUUGGCGGGAGAGCUUAUGACCUCGAUGUUGAAUUGGGGUGUCUGGUAUAAGUAGAAAUAUAUUAAGAUAGUCUGUUCGACUAUUAAAUUCCCACAUGAUUUGAGUUCAGACCGGCGUGAGCCAGGUUGGUUUCUAUCUUUUGAGAUAUAUAGAUUUAAAUUGUACGAAAGGACCUUUA
rnacentral:rRNA from 1 species